rnacentral:rRNA from 1 species
GUGCAGCAGUCGAGAAACCUCCGCAAUGCGGGAAACCGCGACGGGGGACCCCGAGUGCCGUGGCAACGCCACGGCUUUUCCGGAGUGUAAAAAGCUCCGGGAAUAAGGGCUGGGCAAGGCCGGUGGCAGCCGCCGCGGUAAUACCGGCGGCCCGAGUGGUGGCCGCUAUUAUUGGGCCUAAAGCGUCCGUAGCCGGGCCCGUAAGUCCCUGGCGAAAUCCCACGGCUCAACCGUGGGGCUUGCUGGGGAUACUGCGGGUCUUGGGACCGGGAGAGGCGGGGGGUACCCCUGGGGUAGGGGUGAAAUCCUAUAAUCCCAGGGGGACCGCCAGUGGCGAAGGCGCCCCGCUGGAACGGGUCCGACGGUGAGGGACGAAGGCCAGGGGAGCAAACCGGAUUAGAUACCCCGGUAGU